rnacentral:rRNA from 1 species
AGUUGGGCACUCUAAGGUGACUGCCGGUGACAAACCGGAGGAAGGUGGGGAUGACGUCAAAUCAUCAUGCCCCUUAUGACCUGGGCUACACACGUGCUACAAUGGAUGGUACAAAGGGCUGCAAGACCGCGAGGUCAAGCCAAUCCCAUAAAACCAUUCUCAGUUCGGAUUGUAGGCUGCAACUCGCCUACAUGAAGCUGGAAUCGCUAGUAAUCGCGGAUCAGCAUGCCGCGGUGAAUACGUUCCCGGGCCUUGUACACACCGCCCGUCACACCACGAGAGUUUGUAACACCCGAAGUCGGUGGAGUAACCGUAAGGAGCUAGCCGCCUAAGGUGGGACAGAUGAUUGGGGUGAAGUCGUAACAAGGUAGCCGUAUCGGAAGGUGCGGCUGGAUCACCUCCUUU